GAGCACCUGGCUCAACGGUAGAGCGUUCGACUCAAAUACCAAAGGUCACGGGUUUUAAUCCCAGUUGUUCA
rnacentral:tRNA from 1 species